AUACGCUUAAGUGUGGAUCUUGUGAAAGCAGCCCAGCAGCAACUCCAAUUUCUUGCUGCCGUCGACAAUAUCCGUUACCUGUACGAUGGUCCUGCUUUGCAUUGAGCCAUACACAGGUAUGAGCAUUAUUGGCUUCCAUUGCUAGCGAAACAUAAGGAGUCUCCCGCCAUGAUAGAGCCCCAAGUCGUGCCUCUCCAUUGUUAAUGGAUAUGGAUUUUGCCAUCGCCUCAAUCCCGUCAAUAUAAGAGUGAUUGCAAGGAACUUUAUGGGCGAAUUCUCGACAACCUAAAUGUCCAGUAAACCAUAAGGAACAUGCACAAGACAGACCAAGAGGCUUUGGAAUCCUGUGUAUCCCAAAGAGCCAUAUCAUUUCGAACAAAGCUAUCACUCUUUGAUAAGCACCAACUGUUCGAAUAUGGGUCCUCAGAUAAACAUUAAGUAUGAUCUAGUUGCAGCUGUCAAGAGGCAAAGUUUGUUUUUCCAUAAGGUGCCAAAGUCGAUAAUGACUGAUGAUCACUACCUCGGGUAAGCUGCGGUUAGAUACAAGGCGUUUCUGCACCUUGUUAAGAUAAACGUGGAGCGAUCUACCAGGUUCUUCUGUGUUCCUACUAAUGACAUUGACAUAAUUUGGCAUUCCCACCAGCUCAAUCCCCAUUCAUAUUCUAAAGAUGUUUAUGAGGAUCCAGCAGACAAUAAGCAUGAGUUUGGAUUCGCACAAACAGCUAAGCUCUGGGAGGAUACCUGCAGUCGGAAGUACUUGAUAGUUGGGGCAACGUUUAAAGGUGAUUGCCAAUCAAAGUGUUACUGCCUUGUCGGUUUUGAAACAUGUGGUAAGGGAUAUGUGGAAGGAGCCACUUCAUGUGCUUAUUGAUUUGACUGCGGGAUCUGUUUCAUAGAACGUGUGGCUCGGGAUGUGAUGGUGCCCUCAUAGGUGCUUUAGAAUGUUCGAGCAUGUAUCACAUGUGCAUUGGUUGUCUUGAUGGAUAAUUAAGCGGCCAGACUGAUGAUAUGUUUUCUAUAGAAUGUAGAAGUUUGGUCAAUUAUUGACCUAACAUAUAUUAAACCUGAUAAAUACAUAAA